rnacentral:tRNA from 1 species
GGUAGUUCAGCUAGGG